rnacentral:rRNA from 1 species
UCAUAGAAUUUCUUCAAAUUCAUGAUGUCGUAAGGGAAAAUAAUGAUAAUACCUUACUAUGAGUGUCGUCCAAAUCUGGUGCCAGAAGACUCGGUAAGACCAGAGACGCAAACGUUAAUCAUCAUAAACAGGCGUAAAGGGUUUGUAGGCAGCUUUUAUAAGAUAAUAAAAAUCUAAAUUGAAAGCUAGAAUCAAAAAGAGGUUAUAGUGUAUAACGCCUAGAGGAGGGCUGAUAUCCAUAGAUCCUAGGCAGAAUACUCAGGGCGAAGGCCACUCUCCACUAAUGAUUGACGCUGAGAAACGAAGGUUAGGGUAGGAAAUAGGAUUAGAUACCCCGGUACUCCUUUCUGUAAACGAUGAAUGGUAGUCAUUAGUUUUAAUAAAUAACUAGAGGCGAAGUUAACACAAUAACCAUUCCGCCUUGUGAGUACUACUGCAAAGUAGAAAACAAAAAAAUUAGUCGGUCUCGAAGCAAACGGAGUGAAGCAUGUUAUUUA